CGGUGGUUUAUUUUGGGUUGUUGCAUUUAAACCAUACUUUGGGGCAAGAUUGUCGCUAACACUUCACUCUGGCCCAAUGGGUGAAGCUUGAUAGUAAUCCUUGCUAGAAGU
rnacentral:snoRNA from 1 species